AAGUUAAGAACGAUAGUCUGAUGAUUCUAGUUGAAUCUUCCCUAAUUCUCGUUACCGAUUCUCCGCACAAUCUCGUGUACAUAUAUGUACUUGUACUGUUUAUAUGUAUAAGCAUCAACGACAGUCGAAAAUUGAUAGCCAUGUAAAUUACAAGUUCUAAAUCGUGCAAUCUAAAAGAAAAAGACAUCUGGAAAAAUGUUCGAUUGAUAGGAGAAAUGCAAGAACGAUAAGAGUAACGUGUUAUAAGGACUUCGAGCGAUGGACACGCGAAUUGCUCCUGAAAUUCCUCUCUCGGACUGCCGAUGGAGCUCGCGUGCGCGAUGCCGCCACUUCAGACAUCAUCGGCGUACGAGUGAUCGAGGGGAUCACGGCCACGUGAAAAGGGAAGCAGCCGUCAAUUGGUAUACACGGUGUACACACGAGACGUGCGUGAAGAGAGUGCGAAUAUUGGUAUCGCGAUAACGAACGGGAAACCCUCGCGUGUCCGAAAGUACGAGCCACCCCAGCCAGUGCACGUUAUCCACGGAACACGCGUGCAUUAUAUCGACGAUCUCUCGGUGAUUAAUGCCAGCUGUUAGUACCAGGAGGCUCCAGUCAAUUGAAUCUCAUCGUUCGGCCGCAUAUAAGCCUCGCUCGGUUGCCUUUAUCCGUCUCUCUCUCUCUCUCUCUUUCUCUCACACAGACACACUCUCUCUCUCUCUCUUACUCACUCACACCCUCUCUGUAAUGCACGAACCAACUAUCCCGGUUUUCGAAGAAGAGUUGCAACGUCGACGCGUAAAUAAUAAAUCCUAUGGAAUCGCCUUACCGUGUCGGGAAGAGGAAAAGAGGAGAGGAGGAGAGGCGUUGUUCGUUUCUCGAGGCUGCAGGUAACGGAAAGAAUAAAGUUUUCCUGGUAGACCCGUGGAUAGUAAAGUCCCUGGCAAGUCCGUGGCACGUUAAACUUUCCAGUUUCGAGAACGCAAUUUUCCCAAGGGAAUCAGUCCUCGCUAAUGCAAGAGUGGUUAUAGACGGAGAAAGAGAGGAAGGGAUAGAGAGAAAACAGGUAUAAAGGGGGACGAUAUUAUGGGAGAGGGAAACUGUGCGCGGGCGGGAAUGGCGACGAGGAGUUUGAGGGUUGAACGAGCUGACGCUUUAAGCGAUUAAAGAAAUUAUGCUACGAGAUAAGUUAUCUCGGCGCAACUGGUCCAGAAAGUACGAACACCUGUCGGCUGAAUUUUUUAAGAAGGUACCACAAACCAGCUGGAAGAAUACGCGUAGUGCAGUAUCGGCGAUGCGCACCACACGAAUUUUAAUGUUCCCCGGUGUCACUGACCGUAGGUGCUGGCCGAAGAAUGCAGAAAGGAGGGAUUUCCGGCGGACACUUUCCAACACAAACCACCGGAAGAUGCGAUUAAGCGUUCACCAAUUCUUCUGAAACCAUCGCCGUCCAUUCCCAGAACGGCAUCCGGUCACUGGUAUAUCUCGCCGAAACGAACGAUCGAACCACCCAUUGAACCUGGUGAAUUUCGCGUCAUGCAGCAAAGAUUCAUUUUUCUCGGUUAAGUGGAGAAUUCGAGUAAAUUAUGGAAUAUAUAUUUUAUACACCAGAG